rnacentral:rRNA from 1 species
UGUCCCGGAAUUAUUGGGGCGUAAAGGGGCUCGUAGGCGGUUUGUCGCGUCUAGCGUUUAAGGCUCGGGCUUAACCCGGGUUUGCGUUGGGUACGGGCAGGCUUGAGUGCGGUAGGGGUAACUGGAAUUCCUGGUGUAGCGGUGGAAUGCGCAGAUAUCAGGAGGAACACCGGUGGCGAAGGCGGGUUACUGGGCCGUUACUGACGCUGAGGAGCGAGAGCGUGGGGAGCGAACAGGAUUAGAUACCCUGGUAGUCCAUGCUGUAAACGUUGGGCACUAGGUGUGGGGGCUGGUUUCAUGGUUUCCGCGCCGUAGCUAACGCAUUAAGUGCCCCGCCUGGGGAGUACGGCCGCAAGGCUAAAACUCAAAGGAAUUGACGGGGGCCCGCACAAGCGGCGGAGCAUGCGGAUUAAUUCGAUGCAACGCGAAGAACCUUACCAAGGCUUGACAUGCACCGCGAGACUGCAGAGAUGUGGUUGCCUUCGGGGUGGUGUGCAGGUGGUGCAUGGUUGUCGUCAGCUCGUGUCGUGAGAUGUUGGGUUAAGUCCCGCAACGAGCGCAACCCUUGUCUCAUGUUGCCAGCACGUUUGGGUGGGGACUCGUGAGAGACUGCCGGGGUUAACUCGGAGGAAGGUGGGGAUGACGUCAAAUCAUCAUGCCCCUUAUGUCUUGGGCUUCACGCAUGCUACAUUGGUGUCUACAGAGGGUUGCUAUUCCGUGAGGUUGAGCGAAUCUCUUAAAGGGCAUCUUGGUUCGGAUCGCAGUCUGCAACUCGACUGCGUGAAGGUGGAGUCGCUAGUAAUCGCAGAUCAGCAUUGCUGCGGUGAAUACGUUCUCGGGCCUUGUACACACCGCCCGUCACGUCACGAAAGUUGGUAACACCCGAAGCCUGUGGCCUAAC